GCCGCUAGGGGGGCGGCCUGGGCCGGGCAGGCGCACGGCUCUGAGCCCAGCGCAGCCAAGCCGGUCCGCAGAGGGGCCCCAGAACUUUGUGUGUGUGUGUUCGUGUGUGUGUGUGUGUGUGUGUGUGUGCGCGCGUGUGUCUGUGCGCGCGCGCCCGUGUGUGUGUGCGAGGGUGCGCGCGUGCUGGCCCGGGGGGGAACCGACCCUAAGGAGAGCCCCCGGCUGGCAAAGUGGUUCGCCCAUCUCGCAGCGGGUUGGCGCUCACGGAGGUAGGAGUGAAAUGAAUGAAGGAAGGAGUGGGAGCGCGCCGUGCUCCCAGGGAGGGCGGGUGAGUGGAGGAGCUUCGGAAAGCCACACGAGGUCAGAGGCACCAAGACCUGCCGUGCACGUCGCGGAAACGCAGCCCCCGGGGUGGUCGCCGGCUUCCUGCCGGAAUGUGGCUUCCAAGCCACCCUGAUCUUCGCCUCCUCGCGUCUACACUGUCCCGAGCCCCCGCCCCCCGCCCCCCAUCACUUGAAUGGGAGCUCACAACUGUCUGGGUCCUCGCUUUUCUCAGCGCUCUCUCCGAUCAGGGCUUCCGCUAAACAUUCUCCAAACUCUCCCCGGCUCAGAGCCUCUCCAGGUUUGCCUCUCCAGCUGUCUCCCGUAUGCUUGGAUAGGAUGCCCUUCCAUCCCCUCCAACUUAGGAAGACUUGUUGAGUCUCCUCUUAGGGACUGUUUUUAAAACCGUGGGUCGUGACACAUUAAUAGAUCAUAAAAUAAAUGCAGCGGAUGGCAACGGGCUUUAAAAAAGAAUGAAAUGGAAUCCAAUAGAAAAUAUUAGAAUCCACUGCCCUUAGUAAGGGAAACUAUUGUUUCAUAAACCUUUUGUUUCAAUUAUAGGUACUGGACAAGUGUACUGGACCAUGAUGUCAAUUUUAUUUCCGACUGUGGAUCGUGGGUUUAACAAAGUUGAGAAGCUAUCUUUUUAAGGUGUAAAAUAAUGAUCUCUAACACUGUAUGACUUUCUUGAAUACAACCCAAUGAUUUUCUCACUACUUCUUAUCCUUUCCGUUCUCCAUCCUCCAUUCCCCCUCCCCAAAAGGCAAGCUCUUUCACACUUUGUUAGUGGCACAUCACAGCCCCUUCCUGUGUGAUCUUGGACUCUGCCGUCUUCCUUGCCCCCACAAUCAAUGCUACACUUCCUACCACUUCUCUCAACCUAAUGCCAUUCACAUUUGCAGAAUCCCAGGCUACUGUUGCUAAAAGGGACCUCAGAGGUCAUCUGGGCCAGCCCUGCCCUUUGAGAGUUGAAGAAAUGAAGUCCAAGGAAGUAAAAUCUAUCGCCCAAUGUCACACAGUAUUGAAGCUUAGAAAUAGGAGACAUUUGCUGCCUGGACUGCCUGGCUGAUUUGAGCUAGUUUGUCUGCUAGCCAGUUUGAGUUGGAUGUUUAAAUAGGAGGCAGAAUAACAACAGGGUAUCGUGAUCUGUUGCCCAGGCUGGAAUGUAGUUGCAA